GAUGAAGAACGCAGCGAAAUGCGAUAAGUAAUGUGAAUUGCAGAAUUCAGUGAAUCAUCGAAUCUUUGAACGCACAUUGCGCCCUCUGGUAUUCCGGAGGGCAUGCCUGUUCGAGCGUCAUUAAAACUACUCAAGCUAAGGUUUUACCUUCUGCUUGGUCUUGGGUUUGAGGAUUCAAAAUCCUCUCUCCGAAAUCCAGUGGCGAAUUGUUUGAGCUGUAGACGUAGUAAAUCAUUCUACCCGUUGCAAGCGAGAAUAAUAUUCAGCCAUAACCCCCAUACUUUUCUAGUUUGACCUCGGAUCAGGUAGGGAUACCCGCUGAACUUAAGCAUAUCAAUAAGCGGAGGA
rnacentral:misc_RNA from 1 species